rnacentral:lncRNA from 1 species
GGAAGAUGAUCCCUGAGCCCAUCAGCUCCAGCUGAGCACAGCCAGGACUGCAACCUCGAGGGCUGGAGCAGUGCUAAAGCCACGGCUGAGCCCACUCCUGAAACUGAGGCAGACCUAGAUUAUUUCACUGCUUCCCACUAUGGCCCAAGAAGAAAGAAGUUUAGGUGCCAGCCAUCGUGUUUGCUCUCCUUUCCAUGCCUGAGUUUUUGAGUCCCUCUGCUUACCAGUACCAGGUGAAUGAUUUUAAUAGAUGAGUUGCAUGAGUGAAACUACUUGCAUAUAGCAACCUGCAAAAGAAUCAGUCCCCGAGCCCAGCACUGCCAUCAGAGCCCUCUCAGCCCUAGACACACACUGCCAUGGUCACCAGCCUCCACAAGGAUGGAAACACUGCUCCUCGGAAAGCACUUGGCGAUUUUAAUCCUGCUCAUUACUCACCACAGUUACUUUUACAGCAGUGACAAAACUAAUGAAGGUUGAUGAUUAAAGAAAAUUCUUCACACUUGAAGGAUCAGAUAAACACUGCAAAUAUCAGUGUCCCUGCUGGAAGGUGAUUUCCCCCCAGCUGGUGCUCCCACAUCGAAAGGGGAGGAGGGGAGGCUGCCUCUAGCAGCUGGUGAACUGUGGAAUUCGGCAGGGACUCUGGAUAAUUCUACAGGCCUGACCCUAUGGGUGAGCUUCUACAUCCCAUUCCACUUGGGACAAAAAGUGAUAGAUGGCAUCUUCACAGCUCUAAGACUCCAGAUGUACAUCUGUACAGCAGGGAGAGCAGCAGCUGCUGCCUCCACCGAGCGCUGUGAGCUGGGUCAUGAGAGCACUGCUGGAGCUGGGAUGGAACCACAAACACAACUCCCACUUCACUCAGGUCAGGAAUUUCUUCAGCAUCUGUGGAAAUAGGUGAAGAUCUCCUAACCUGUGGAGUGAACAAUUUGAAAAGGGUUAUGAAGAGAGCUGAAUACCACAGUGUGAACAGAGCAGUACAGCCAGAUACUGAGCAGUACAUGGGCUUCCAGGCCAGCAUUAUGCAUGGAACUGGAAAAGCUUUUUGCUUCCAGAGGAACAAAUAAAAAUCAUACAAACACACA